rnacentral:lncRNA from 1 species
UGCGUUGUGAGAUUUAAAAUAUUUUGAUGAGAACAUUAAGUAAAUGAUGUAUCAAACGUUCAAGAAUACGCAUGUAAUAUGUGUCACUGGAUAUAAAAAAAAAUCAUCCUCAACACCUACUUCCGUAUGGGACUUCCCCUUUCAGUGACCUGCAAAUUUAACAGAUGAUACACUUUCUAAGAUUUAUAUGUCCAACAACGACCCACUGCUCUACAUGUGUUACUAACAGCCUAAGAUAGCAGUUCUUUUUUUAGGUCAAUUCUCUUUCGUACAAUACCAG